rnacentral:rRNA from 1 species
CGGGUGAGUAACGCGUGAGCAACCUGUCCCUUACAGGGGGAUAACACAGCGAAGUUGUACUAAUACCGCAUGAGACCACGAUAUCACAUGGUAUAGGGGGUCAAAGGAGCCAAUCCGGUAAGGGGUGGGCUCGCGUCCGAUUAGAUAGUUGGUGAGGUAACGGCCCACCAAGUCGACGAUCGGUAGCCGACCUGAGAGGGUGAUCGGCCACAUUGGGACUGAGACACGGCCCAAACUCCUACGGGAGGCAGCAGUGGGGAAUAUUGGGCAAUGGGGGGAACCCUGACCCAGCAACGCCGCGUGAGGGAAGAAGGUUUUCGGAUCGUAAACCUCUGUCCUAUGUGAAGAGGAAGAGACGGUAGCAUAGGAGGAAGCCCCGGCUAACUACGUGCCAGCCGCUGC